rnacentral:tRNA from 1 species
UCCCUGAUAGCUCAGCGGUAGAGCAGUUGACUGUUAAUCAAUUGGUCCGUGGUUCGAUCCCACGUCAGGGAG